rnacentral:rRNA from 1 species
GCCAGCAUUCUAGGUUGGGCACUCUAAGGUGACUGCCGGCUAAAAGUCGGAGGAAGGUGGGGAUGACGUCAAAUCAUCAUGCCCCUUAUGACCUGGGCUACACACGUGCUACAAUGGCCGUUACAACGGGAAGCGAAGGAGCAAUCCGGAGCAAAUCCCUUAAAGGCGGUCCCAGUUCAGAUUGUGGGCUGAAACUCGCCCACAUGAAGGCGGAAUUGCUAGUAAUUGCAGAUCAGCAUGCUGCAGUGAAUACGUUCCCGGGCCUU